UUAGAACACUCUACAGAUUUUAAUAAUGCAGUAGGUAUCGGAGCUUGUUAAAGUAGAAGGAUCAAAAGCCUAUGAUUUUGUAUCAAAAGUUGGAAAAUUAAUUAUUAGCAAUGAUCAAGCUUUAAGUACAGUUGGCUGGGACAAAAAGGCAAACAAAAGUUUUGUGAUACCAGAAUUGCAAAUCUCAUAAUUGAUCCAAACAUUUUCGAUAAAAAAUUUGUAUGUAAAGAAAUUUUCUGGUGGAAUGGAUUUGAAAUAAUGCCUCCACCUCCUAAACUGGGACUUCUUACAAAUGUUGCAAACCGUGAAGAAGAACACCUGGAGACCGAAGAAAGUUCUGGGGAGUGUACAGAAGAAAAAUCUACCACUUCCGUUUCUUCUGAUACUGAAGGAAGUGCGAAGAGUAAUCCCAGGCCCUGUAUGAAGGUAGGUUGUAGAACGUUACAUAUUGACGGCAUUGGUUUAUCGUCUGAAUUUUCCUUUGUCACUGUAUUUUCGAAGUGAUAGUUAUUUUUACCCUUCUCAAAUUGACAAUAGUAUUAUUCUUCUUCUUCUUUUCGCAUAAUAGCCCUGGAUCUGUCCUUGCCUGUCUGGAUGUUUCCUUCUUUCAGAUCUCUCUUGUGCCUUUCUCCUCCAUUACGUUAUA
rnacentral:lncRNA from 1 species